rnacentral:misc_RNA from 1 species
GGGAAAUACUCAUAGUGACCUUCUGGAAGGAUCUGGAAAGCCACGAAAAGUCCCACAAGUCCGAAGGUUUUAACAAGCUCUUCAAAGAGCUUACNGGAGCUCGCGGAAAGUACUUACGAAGUAGUUUACAAGAUGCUCUGGCAGGG